CAUGCGGUUUAAUUCGAUGAUCCGCGAAAAACCUUACCAACUCUUGACAUGGUAGUCGCGAAAAAUGGAGACAUUUUUCUUCAGUUUGGCUGGACUACACACAGGUGUUGCAUGGCUGUCGUCAGCUCGUGUCGUGAGAUGUUGGGUUAAGUCCCGCAACGAGCGCAACCCUUAUUCUUAUUUGCCAGCGGGUAAUGCCGGGAACUAUAGGAAAACUGCCGGUGCUAAGCCGGAGGAAGGUGGGGAUGAGGUCAAGUCAUCAUGGCCCUUAUGAGUUGGGCUACACGCGUGC
rnacentral:rRNA from 1 species